rnacentral:rRNA from 1 species
UACGUAGGGUGCAGGCGUUAAUCGGAAUUACUGGGCGUAAAGCGUGCGCAGGCGGCCUCUUAAGUCAGAUGUGAAAUCCCCGGGCUUAACCUGGGAACUGCGUUUGAAACUGGGAGGCUAGAGUGUGGAAGAGGGGGGUGGAAUUCCAGGUGUAGCAGUGAAAUGCGUAGAGAUCUGGAGGAACACCGAUGGCGAAGGCAGCCCCCUGGGCUGACACUGACGCUCAUGCACGAAAGCGUGGGGAGCAAACAGG